GAGUGACGUGGCGGAACGGCAGACGCGCUAGACUUAGGAUCUAGUGCCGCAAGGCGUAAGGGUUCAAGUCCCUUCGUCCGCA
rnacentral:tRNA from 1 species